AUGGAGGCCCGAACCCACGCACGUUGAAAAGUGCGGGGAUGAGGUGUGGGUAGCGGAGAAAUUCCAAUCGAACCUGGAGAUAGCUGGUUCUCCCCGAAAUAGCUUUAGGGCUAGCCUUAAGUGUAAGAGUCUUGGAGGUAGAGCACUGAUUGAACUAGGGGUCCUCAUCGGAUUACCGAAUUCAGUCAAACUCCGAAUGCCAAUGACUUAUCCUUAGGAGUCAGACUGCGAGUGAUAAGAUCCGUAGUCAAGAGGGAAACAGCCCAGAUCGCCAGCUAAGGUCCCAAAGUGUGUAUUAAGUGGAAAAGGAUGUGGAGUUGCUUAGACAACUAGGAUGUUGGCUUAGAAGCAGCCACCAUUUAAAGAGUGCGUAAUAGCUCACUAGUCGAGUGACUCUGCGCCGAAAAUGUACCGGGGCUAAAUACACCACCGAAGCUGCGAAUUGAUACCAAUGGUAUCAGUGGUAGGGGAGCGUUCUAAGUGCAGUGAAGUCAGACCGGAAGGACUGGUGGAGCGCUUAGAAGUGAGAAUGCCGGUAUGAGUAGCGAAAGACGGGUGAGAAUCCCGUCCACCGAAUGCCUAAGGUUUCCUGAGGAAGGCUCGUCCGCUCAGGGUUAGUCAGGACCUAAGCCGAGGCCGACAGGCGUAGGCGAUGGACAACAGGUUGAUAUUCCUGUACCACCUCUUUAUCGUUUGAGCAAUGGAGGGACGCAGAAGGAUAGAAGAAGCGUGCGAUUGGUUGUGCACGUCCAAGCAGUUAGGCUGAUAAGUAGGCAAAUCCGCUUAUCGUAAAGGCUGAGCUGUGAUGGGGAAGCUCCUUAUGGAGCGAAGUCUUUGAUUCCCCGCUGCCAAGAAAAGCUUCUAGCGAGAUAAAAGGUGCCUGUACCGCAAACCGACACAGGUAGGCGAGGAGAGAAUCCUAAGGUGUGCGAGAGAACUCUGGUUAAGGAACUCGGCAAAAUGACCCCGUAACUUCGGGAGAAGGGGUGCUUUCUUAACGGAAAGCCGCAGUGAAUAGGCCCAAGCGACUGUUUAGCAAAAACACAGCUCUCUGCGAAGCCGUAAGGCGAAGUAUAGGGGGUGACACCUGCCCGGUGCUGGAAGGUUAAGGAGAGGGGUUAGCGUAAGCGAAGCUCUGAACUGAAGCCCCAGUAAACGGCGGCCGUAACUAUAACGGUCCUAAGGUAGCGAAAUUCCUUGUCGGGUAAGUUCCGACCCGCACGAAAGGUGUAACGAUUUGGGCACUGUCUCAACCAGAGACUCGGUGAAAUUAUAGUACCUGUGAAGAUGCAGGUUACCCGCGACAGGACGGAAAGACCCCGUGGAGCUUUACUGUAGCCUGAUAUUGAAUUUUGGUACAGUUUGUACAGGAUAGGCGGGAGCCAUUGAAACCGGAGCGCUAGCUUCGGUGGAGGCGCUGGUGGGAUACCGCCCUGACUGUAUUGAAAUUCUAACCUACGGGUCUUAUCGACCCGGGAGACAGUGUCAGGUGGGCAGUUUGACUGGGGCGGUCGCCUCCUAAAGUGUAACGGAGGCGCCCAAAGGUUCCCUCAGAAUGGUUGGAAAUCAUUCGUAGAGUGCAAAGGCAUAAGGGAGCUUGACUGCGAGACCUACAAGUCGAGCAGGGACGAAAGUCGGGCUUAGUGAUCCGGUGGUUCCGCAUGGAAGGGCCAUCGCUCAACGGAUAAAAGCUACCCCGGGGAUAACAGGCUUAUCUCCCCCAAGAGUCCACAUCGACGGGGAGGUUUGGCACCUCGAUGUCGGCUCAUCGCAUCCUGGGGCUGUAGUCGGUCCCAAGGGUUGGGCUGUUCGCCCAUUAAAGCGGUACGCGAGCUGGGUUCAGAACGUCGUGAGACAGUUCGGUCCCUAUCCGUCGUGGGCGUAGGAAAUUUGAGAGGAGCUGUCCUUAGUACGAGAGGACCGGGAUGGACGCACCGCUGGUGUACCAGUUGUUCUGCCAAGGGCAUAGCUGGGUAGCUAUGUGCGGAAGGGAUAAGUGCUGAAAGCAUCUAAGCAUGAAGCCCCCCUCAAGAUGAGAUUUCCCAUAGCGUAAGCUAGUAAGAUCCCUGAAAGAUGAUCAGGUUGAUAGGUUCGAGGUGGAAGCAUGGUGACAUGUGGAGCUGACGAAUACUAAUAGAUCGAGGACUUAACCAU
rnacentral:rRNA from 1 species